CCUGGGGCGAUGCCCCAGGCUUUAAUAAUACGCCCCUUUGGGGCU
rfam:Beggiatoa sp. 4572_84 ex4572_84_scaffold_2760, whole genome shotgun sequence.